AGUUGUAAGGUAGAGGUACAGUGCCUAGAAUAUUGCCCCUAUUCUAGACACUGUAGUCAUAGAGAAAGAAGCUGUAGUAGAGGUGUUCUGCAGUGUGUGUUAAGAAACUCUAUGGUGUUCUGUGGUUCUGUGCUGUAGCCCCGCUUAACACCAGCCAACACAAGCCUCGCAGACACAACGUGUUCUGUGAGACAACUCUCCGGGCCAAAUGCGAGCAGCAGCCGAUCAAAGCGCCUUCCGACGAGCCGAUAUCCCGCGGUGCAAGCUCUUAAAGGAAGUCUCCCGUCGGGGACGACUGACCGGCCAGAUAAUACCGUCCUUCCCAGUGCUCCAACAUCGCCCCUUAAGAAAUUCGCAUAGGCGGUGGCGCCACGCUUCCCUCUAGGUAGAGUGUACUAGAAUAAGGUUCUAGUACACUAUCUCUACUAUGGAGGCCAGGGUGUAGAAUUGGUAAAAUGACGGGGCACGCUCGCCUCUACGCAACGCCGCGAUGAACGCCAGUGUCAACUCCGCCGCCAGUGUCAGCGCUGCGGAGAAGAGGGCUCGGGCCGCCGCCGCUGCUGCUGCGAAACGGGAAGCGACGACGUCAACGGCGGCUAGCGAACCCUGAAAUCCGGGCUCGGGAAGCCGAAUUGAAACGUCGACGUCGAGCAGCGAAUCUUGAAGCGGCUCGGCAAUACGAAACCGAAAAGAAACGUCAACGGCGGCUAUUGGACCCUGAAUUCCGGGCUAGGGAAGCCGAAUUGAGACGUCGACGUCGAGCAGCGAACCUCGAGGUGGUGCGACGACGCGAAGCCGAAGCGAAACGUAGACGCCGAGCAGCGAAUCUCGAAGCGAAACGUAAACAACGAGCAGCAGAAUCUCGAAGCGGCGCGGCAAUGCGAGUCGGCGGCGAAGGCAACGCAUCGCAUGAAGCAACUGCUGCAACCGGGCACGGAUGGCGCGGACGCGUGGUUCAAGCUCGAGUUCGUGGAUCGAAGCUUCGGGCACAUCUGCAAGGUUGCAUCGCCGGCACAACCAACUGGAGUCCUUCGAGCGAAGUGUUCUGUGCAGCAUGACCAGCCCACAUCCUGUGAGAAGGGUGUGUCCAAAUCAACACAGGCUAAUAUAGUCACUCAAAUGGUCUCUGCAUGGACGCAAUCCGAAGAGGUGCAAGAUUUAUAUGAUGCCUCCUCGCCACUGAAAGUGCCACAGCCAAGCAAAGGCCAUAAAGCAGCAUCAUUUGGAUUGCAGAGGACCAAGGUUAGUGCCUCCAGGACCUAUGAAAGUCAUGGAAGGCCCCAGUGCAUACGCAAAAGGCUGCUGAAAAGAUAACAUGGUGUACAGGCAUCUCGGAGGCCAACUUAUACUCUACCGCGGUCUCCUGUUAGAUGCCAUCCCACAAUCUCAAAGACAGCGACGUCGUUUCUUGAUCAUCGGAACCGCUAUCGCAGGACGUAAGUGCACUACAGUUAGUAUAAGGUAUGCAGAGUGGAGGUUCGGGCUUGGACCCGGGCAUACGCCCGAGUGCUGCAGUGAAGAGUCUCUUCACCGGAGUACGGCUCCUCCUUUGCGCUACCACCAAGCACUCAAGUCAUCGAGGGGCACCUAUUCUGAACCUCUACACCUUCCCUCCUUAGCUAGUGUAGAAGCUAGCCGAGGAGUAGGAAAUUAAUCGGCGCAGUCGACAGGAUUGGAGAGCCCACAGCGAGGAAAGCGCUAAAAUGCGGGGAAGCUCACAAGAUGCUCACCGCUUUUGGGAGCUACUGGUGUGCUGCGAGAAGUAGCAUCAGGACGCUCGCUGCUUUGGUAUCUGCUGGCGUGCUGAUCAACGAACCUGCUGAUUAACUUGGGAGCCAGGAGUUGGGCAGCCCAAGAGCGCUGCGCCUCAGUAAACUAGAGCAGAACAGAAAGGACAGUCCACACGGCUAACUUCAGACAACGACAGGGGCGGCUUGGUGGAGCUCCCGGAGCAUCAAAGGAUUCGUCGCAAUCAGCGUUGGCGACGAGACGAUGUUAUUCCAACUGACAAGGUCAUUGGGCGACGCAUCACUGCAAGCAAUGCCUCUAGUCUUGGAAUAUCCAACACGGACCAGCAGUCGAAUGGAGGAAUAUUGAAAUGGUGAUGGCAUCACAGAUGGUGAUGAUGAGUGCAGACUGACAGCAAGCUCACCUUUAAUGAAGAAGGAGAGAAAAGGCCCUGCCACAGUCAAUCGAGAGCCUGUACUUGUCAUCGUCAGUGACAGCGCACUCGCUCAUCGAGGUUUGAGGACCUGGAGGCUUUGAAUCGCCGUGAACUUUCCAAUGCAACCUGUGCCUACAGACGAUUGUACAAUAGACUACUUUUAAACGAAACCAGAAGCGACCAAGAAAAUGUGUUUCCUUCAAGAAGAGUUUCGUUUACUGAGAGAUAAACAGGGGUAUAUAUUCAAGUACCGAACCAAACAUAUUAGUGGAAGUUGUUUCAUUUAAGCAGUAAUUUCAUUUGAGAGGGUUUCCUUUAAUAGGAGUCUACUGUAAUGUGAAAUCGUCUCUCCAAGUCUGCCAAUUCCGCGAGCACACGCUUGGUCGCAUGCAGAGGUUGCUUUCAGCAAAUCAUUGCAAAUAAAUUUCACUCAGAGGCUCGUUUACACCAAUAGAUUCUAUGGUAUUGAGUCAGAUUUCUUGCUCUAAUUUCAGUAAAAUUAAUUUUGCUAUUCUUUC